GGACGCAGAAGGAGAGCACGAGCCGGAAAUGGAAAAGCCGGUACAAGCGUAUAGCAGUCAUGCAGGCAAAACCGCAUGAAAAAUGUAAAGCGUUAUGUGGAUCGAACAUUAGUAGAGAAGCGUGUGAGCCAGCUGCCAAGAAAAGCCGCUAUUGCUUCAUAAGUACCCGUACCGUAAACCGACACAGGUGGAUGAGGAGAGAAUCCUAAGGCCGGCGGGAGAAGUGUUGUUAAGGAACUCGGCAAAAUGACUCCGUAACUUCGGGAGAAGGAGUGCCACAGAGAUGUGGCCGCAGAGAAAUGGCCCAAGCAACUGUUUAGCAAAAACACAGGUCUAUGCAAAACCGAAAGGUGAGGUAUAUGGGCUGACGCCUGCCCUGUGCUGGAAGGUUAAGAGGAGAGGUUAGAGCAAUCGAAGCUUUGAAUUUAAGCCCCAGUAAACGGCGGCCGUAACUAUAACGGUCCUAAGGUAGCGAAAUUCCUUGUCGGGUAAGUUCCGACCCGCACGAAAGGCGUAAUGAUUUGGGCACUGUCUCAACAACACACCCGGUGAAAUUGAAAUACCAGUGAAGAUGCUGGUUACCUGCGCCAGGACGGAAAGACCCCGUGGAGCUUUACUCCAGUUUGAUACUGGGAUUCGGUACUGUCUGUACAGGAUAGGUGGGAGGCUAGGAAAUGGUGACGCCAGUUGCCAUGGAGCCAACCUUGGGAUACCACCCUUACAGUACUGGGUUUCUAACCUGCAGCCGUAACCCGGCUGGGGGACAAUGUCUGACGGGGAGUUUGACUGGGGCGGUCGCCUCCGAAAGAGUAUCGGAGGCGCUCAAAGGUUCCCUCAGAACGGUUGGAAACCAUUCGAAGAGUGCAAAGGCAGAAGGGAGCUUGACUGCGACACCGACGGGUGGAGCAGAUACGAAAGUAGGACUUAGUGAUCCGGUGGUAUAAAGUGGGAUUGCCAUCGCUCAACGGAUAAAAGCUACCCUGGAUAACAGGCUUAUCACUCCCAAGAGUUCACAUCGACGGAGUGGUUUGGCACCUUGAUGUCGGCUCAUCGCAUCCUGGAGCUGUAGCAGGUUCCAAGGGUUGGGCUGUUCGCCCAUUAAAGCGGUACGCGAGCUGGGUUCAGAACGUCGUGAGACAGUUCGGUCCCUAUCCGGCGUGGGCGUAGGAUAUUUGAGAGGAGCUGUCCUUAGUACGAGAGGACCGGGAUGGACAAACCUCUGGUGUAUCUGUUGUUUUACCAAAGGCAUGGCAGAGUAGCCAAGUUUGGCAGGGAUAAACGCUGAAGGCAUCUAAGCGUGAAGCCCCCCUCAAGAUAAGAUAUCCCAUCUUCGGAGUAAGACCCCUUGAAGACUACAAGGUUGAUAGGCUUUGUGUGUAAGUGCGGUAACGCACUCAGCUGAGAAGUACUAAUAGGUCGAGGACUUAUC
rnacentral:rRNA from 1 species